UGGCGGCGUGCCUAAUACAUGCAAGUCGAGCGGACCUCUUCGGAGGUCAGCGGCGGACGGGUGAGUAACACGUGGGCAACCUGCCUGUAAGACUGGGAUAACUCCGGGAAACCGGAGCUAAUACCGGAUAGUAUCUUGAACCGCAUGGUUCAAGUUGGAAAGACGGUUUCGGCUGUCACUUACAGAUGGGCCCGCGGCGCAUUAGCUAGUUGGUGAGGUAAUGGCUCACCAAGGCAACGAUGCGUAGCCGACCUGAGAGGGUGAUCGGCCACACUGGGACUGAGACACGGCCCAGACUCCUACGGGAGGCAGCAGUAGGGAAUCUUCCGCAAUGGACGAAAGUCUGACGGAGCAACGCCGCGUGAGUGAUGAAGGUUUUCGGAUCGUAAAACUCUGUUGUUAGGGAAGAACAAGUGCGAGAGUAACUGCUCGCACCUUGACGGUACCUAACCAGAAAGCCACGGCUAACUACGUGCCAGCAGCCGCGGUAAUACGUAGGUGGCAAGCGUUGUCCGGAAUUAUUGGGCGUAAAGCGCGCGCAGGCGGUUUCUUAAGUCUGAUGUGAAAGCCCCCGGCUCAACCGGGGAGGGUCAUUGGAAACUGGGAAACUUGAGUGCAGAAGAGGAGAGUGGAAUUCCACGUGUAGCGGUGAAAUGCGUAGAGAUGUGGAGGAACACCAGUGGCGAAGGC
rnacentral:rRNA from 1 species